UACAGAGACCUCAAGCGUUAUCCGGAAUCAUUGGGCGUAAAGCGUGCCGAUCGGCGGUUUUUUAAGCCAGGGGGGAAAUCUUCGAGCUCAACUCGGAGUCUGUCCUUUGGAACUGCAAGGCUAGAGGGACAAAGAAGAAGCUGGAACCAGUGGUGUAGUAGUGAAAUGCGUUGAUAUCACUGGGAACACCAAUAGCGAAGGCGGGCUUCUAGGUGUCACCUGACGCUGCUAGGACGAAAGCGUGGGGAGCGAAUGGG
rnacentral:rRNA from 1 species